UGCAAACUUGUACAGCUACUUUGGACAUCAGUGUGGUGGUUUCCCAGAAAAUUGGGAAUAAAAUCUACCUCAAGACUCAGCUGUACAACUCCUGGGCAAAUACCUCAAAGAUGCUCUACCAAACCACAAGGACGCUUGCUCAACUGUGUUCAUAGCAGCUUUAUUCGUAAUAGCCAGAAACUGGAAACAACCCAGAUGUCCCUCAGCCCAAGAACGGAAGAUGUGGUACAGCUGCACAAUGAAAUAUUACUCCUCUAUUAAAAACAAUGACAACGUGGAAUUUGCAGACACGAGCCUAGCGUAACUAUCAACCGAGAGGCUUCACCCAGCAGCUGAUGGAAACAGAUGCAGAGACCAACAACCAAAGAUUUAGCUUGGGGAAUCCUGUUUUGGAGGGGAGGGAAGGAUUGUAGGAGCCAGAGGGGUCAAAGAUACCACAAGAAAACCUAUAAAAUCAACCAACCUGAGUCCAUAGGGACUCAUAGAGACUGAAUUGCCAACCAGAAAGCAUGCAGGGUACGGCCUUACUGGCUUCAGCUAGCUUCCUGCAAUAGUCCGCACAAGACCGGGCCUGCUGACAGUCAAUCAUAAGAAUUCUCCUCUAGAAGAGAUCAAGAGAAAAUUGGGGCCAAGCUUCAUAUCUUACAGUUCACAAAGAUUUCCCAACAAGAUGAUCUCGAACUGCCUGACCCCACCCUGAAUCUGCACCACACUGCCCUCUCCUGGACACACAUGGAAACAGCCACUGGGAGGCUUUUGAUUUGUAGGAGUCUUGCCGAGCAAAGGCUUCUGGGGCACUGUGAGAGUUGUCUGCAAGCUGUCUCUCUGCAGACUUCCCUCCCUGUACUUCUUCUUGCUUACUGGAGCCACAGUUUCCCUCUUUGAAGUAUGAGAAGAAGAUGAAAGAUGCUGGAAAAUGGUAAGAAAGAACACAGAGGCCAGGUUGGGCUGAGGGAGGACCUGCCCGGUCUUGAACUCUUAGCUAGUAGAUG